UACGUAGGGGGCUAGCGUUGUCCGGAAUCACUGGGCGUAAAGGGCGCGUAGGCGGGAUGGCAAGUCGGUCGUGAAAUCCCUGGGCUCAACUCAGGGGGGUCGGCCGAUACUGCCGUUCUUGAGGGAUGCAGAGGAGACUGGAAUUCCCGGUGUAGCGGUGAAAUGUGUAGAGAUCGGGAGGAACACCGGUGGCGAAGGCGGGUCUCUGGGCAUUCCCUGACGCUGAGGCGCGAAAGCGUGGGGAGCAAACGGG
rnacentral:rRNA from 1 species